UACGAAGGGGGCGAGCGUUGUUCGGAUUUACUGGGCGUAAAGGGCGCGCAGGCGGCUCAUUUUGUCAGGCGUGAAAGCCGCGGGCUUAACCUGGGAACUGCGUUUGAUACGGAUGGGCUAGAGUUCGGGAGAGGAGAGUGGAAUUCCCAGUGUAGAGGUGAAAUUCGUAGAUAUUGGGAAGAACACCGGUGGCGAAGGCGGCUCUCUGGACCGAGACUGACGCUGAGGCGCGAAAGCGUGGGGAGCAAACAGG
rnacentral:rRNA from 1 species